rnacentral:rRNA from 1 species
CGCCCUUAGAGUUUGAUCCUGGCUCAGGAUGAACGCUGGCGGCGCGCCUAACACAUGCAAGUCGAACGGCACCUGCCCUCGGGCAGAAGCGAGUGGCGAACGGCUGAGUAACACGUGGAGAACCUGCCCCCUCCCCCGGGAUAGCCGCCCGAAAGGACGGGUAAUACCGGAUACCCCGGGAUGCCGCAUGGCACCCCGGCUAAAGCCCCGACGGGAGGGGAUGGCUCCGCGGCCCAUCAGGUAGACGGCGGGGUGACGGCCCACCGUGCCGACAACGGGUAGCCGGGUUGAGACCGACCGGCCAGAUUGGGACUGAGACACGGCCCAGACUCCUACGGGAGGCAGCAGUGGGGAAUCUUGCGCAAUGGGGGGAACCCUGACGCAGCGACGCCGCGUGCGGGACGGAGGCCUUCGGGUCGUAAACCGCUUUCAGCAGGGAAGAGUCAAGACUGUACCUGCAGAAGAAGCCCCGGCUAACUACGUGCCAGCAGCCGCGGUAAUACGUAGGGGGCGAGCGUUAUCCGGAUUCAUUGGGCGUAAAGCGCGCGUAGGCGGCCCGGCAGGCCGGGGGUCGAAGCGGAGGGCUCAACCCCCCGAAGCCCCCGGAACCUCCGCGGCUUGGGUCCGGUAGGGGAGGGUGGAACACCCGGUGUAGCGGUGGAAUGCGCAGAUAUCGGGUGGAACACCGGUGGCGAAGGCGGCCCUCUGGGCCGAGACCGACGCUGAGGCGCGAAAGCUGGGGGAGCGAACAGGAUUAGAUACCCUGGUAGUCCCAGCCGUAAACGAUGGACGCUAGGUGUGGGGGGACGAUCCCCCCGUGCCGCAGCCAACGCAUUAAGCGUCCCGCCUGGGGAGUACGGCCGCAAGGCUAAAACUCAA